rnacentral:lncRNA from 1 species
GGAAAUGUCACUCAUAGAUAAAAUGCUAGGAUCAUAUAUGAUUAUUUGGAUACUUAUAAAACAUACACAUAAAUGAGAACUGAUUAAGAUGGGUUACCCAAUAACACGUAUAACAACUUCAUAACAUAGAGCUAUCCUAAUCAAAGUGUUUUGCAGCGGAAAACGUGUGAGAUAUACAUAUGAAGAUGUAUACUCAAGGUUACAUUUCUUGAAAUGUCAAAGGAACACCCGCUCAACAUUAUUCCAUUCCAUCAACUGCUCAACCUGCACAUUUAGAAAUACAUGCAGGGCUGAGUAUAAAAAUACUCAGUGGGCAUAGCCGAAAAUACAUUCAUGCAUACAUAUAUAAAUUGAACUGCCAUAACAGUAACACACAGGGGUUUUCUUAAAUGACCUGCGCUUACUAAAAUAUUUCUUUCAUUUUCAUAAAGUCGAUCGGCCGAUCAUUUUCCUUCAUAUGAUCCAUAUCUGUUCCUUUCUGUCACGCGCCGGGAAGGAGGCCUCCUUACCACGGACGCCAAGACCGGUCGCAAGCGACUCGCGGUCUCCAUAAGUGUACACGUUAACCCUAGCUAGCGACCUUUGUCUAGCAUAGGACUCCCAAUUGGAUUUCCUUUAAAGUUGGCGAACCAACACAGAUAGGAUACAUAUAAAAACAUAAACAUUUUUGGCAGUCAAUCAUUUCAUAAACAUUUCAUUUCAUUUCAUGAACAUUUCAUUUUCAUUUCAUAAGAGUCAUUUAUCAUUUGGGCAUAAUAAUAAACUGAAAUUAACAGUUAAAAUCAUCUCAUGCAUAUAUUCGUAUAAGAGGCCUACGACACGCAGGGGAUCUCUAUAUACGUAUAGUAAAAGUAAUGCCCACCUGUAUAGGCAAAGCCUGUCGUUUAACCUUAUCUCUGAAUUGGAAUAGCAGUGCUAAUCCUCUUGAUGCUCAAAGCCUACAAGAAAUUCUAUUCUUAAUAGGUCUCCUUGUAUCUAAUCUUAAGUCAUGGUGUAGUGCUUAACAUUCUAUGAUUCACUUAGCCGGGUUUUUCAAAAUUUAAUAAAUAAAUACUUGAAAAUAUUUCUCUUGAGUUAAGAACACCAACAAUAUUCUUACUCAAUUUUCUUAAAUAAUUGGAUUUAUAAAUAAAACCAAUUAAAUCAUAAAUACUUUUAUUGCAUGAUGCAAAUGCAUACUUAGCAUAUGGUAAGUAAUUACUUAAAAUAUGCACAUAAUAAUGAUAUAAUAUUAUUAUACAAAUCAUCUCAUGCUUAAUCGUAUAUGCACAUAAUAAUAAUAAUAAUAAUAUUAUUAUGCAAAUUAUUCUUUAAAUAAAAAUUAUUCAAACCUUGCUAUAAGUCCAAUUAAUAAAUUAAUAAAUAAUGGGCAGCCCAUUUAAAAUAAUUAAAUCAAGGACCUCCCCCUUUUUCUUAAAAAUUUUCGCAGCCCACUAUAAAAUGGGCAGCCCAAGUUAAUUAAACAAUAAUAGGGCCAUCUAUUAAAUAAUUGAAUUAAGGCCCAACAUUUUCCUUAAAAAAAAUCGGCCCAAGUGGUAUUUAAAUAAGGCCCAUCUGUUUUAAUAAAAUAAAGGCCCAACUGAAAAUUAAAAUCGGCCCAAGUCAAAAAUUUAAAACAAAUCGCAGCCCAAAACUAAUUAAUACCCGGCCCAACACUCAAGCCCACUCCCCAACUUCAAGCCCAAAAGUAAAGUCAACCCCUAAUUUCUUCUCCCUUAUUUCCACUCGUUUCUCUCUCUCUCACGCUGAAACUCUCUCUUCUUCCCUUAUCUCACAGUUGCGCCUCCUUCUUCUCCAAUCUCUCUCUCUCUAAGUCACGGCCGCCGAGGCCCAUCUCCGGCGAAGAGCGCCGUCUCCGGUCACCCUCACCGCAUCAGUCACUCUCUUUCUCCCCCAAACUCUCGACUGCUCGACAGUCCUUCUCUCUCUCGGACUGAUCGGUUCUUUUUCUAAAUAGAUCGGAAACCAUCGCCAUCGGAGCUCGCCGGAGCAAGCGGCGACAGGCUACAUCUUUGCUGCUACUCCAUCGUGCCCGGCGACAACGUUGCUCCGGGACUCCGACUCCCAUCGAAGCAGCCGCCGACCACUCUCCCUCUGGGUUACUGAACCUGGCGGAAACAGCACCCUUGCCGCCUCCGCCCUCUUCCUUGGCAACGGAGAUAGGUACCGCCACCGCCUCCCUCCGUCUCUCUCUCGACCUUCCGGCAACAGCAGCCAAGCCACCGUUUCCGACACCCUCAGAUGUACUCAGCCCAUCUUUCCCUCGGCUCUCUCUCAAACUCCCCCUGUUCACAGAUCCGGCAGCCGCGGUCAGGGCUCCACGCCACCACCGUCAGCACCCCAUUCCCUUCCUUCUCUUCUCCCUCGUCUCCGGCAGUGGCGAACCACCACCACCACGACGCACGCCCUCAUCUCUCAUGCUCCAUCCUCGGCCGGACAACAACGGCGGAGCCGCCGCCGAGCCCUAGCCUCCCUCUGCCUCUCGACUCUCUCAGCCCGCAACCACACCGAGACCGACUGAGUUCGACGCUCAACAACAAGAAACGAGACUCAAAUACACAAAGAAUUCCCUUCUCUUAAAGUUUGAUUCCCAGAUUUUGUACUGAGCACUUGAAAUCAUUUGUUCAUUUAUAUAUAUACCAACAUAUAAUGCACAUUUAUGAAUGAGUUGGCUACCAUGUAACAUGAUCCUUUUUUUUAAAUUGUGAUUGAUUAGCUAGACUGAAAAUAUGAUGCCUUAAUCAUGCAUAAAAAUGAAUUAGUCAAGGGAGUUAGUUCAUAGAUGAAAACCUUGAGGGUUAAUGAUGGUUGGUGCUUGGUGCUUGGUGGCUUCUUUUGUGCGUUCUUGCCUUCUUGAAUGCAGAUGAGAAAAAUGCAACAUGUCUUUUGUGUAGAAUGAGUAAAGUCUCUUUGGUAUGAGUAAAGUCUCCAUGAUUUGAUAUAAUUGAGAUAUGGCAGAGAGGUGUGGAGAGUAGGUGGGAGAAGGGAGGGAGUAGGUGGGUGUAAUAAUAGGUAUUGAUGGUAAGGGU